AACGAACGCUGGCGGCAGGCCUAACACAUGCAAGUCGAACGCCCCGCAAGGGGAGUGGCGCACGGGUGAGUAACGCGUGGGAAUAUGCCCUUCGGUUCGGAAUAACACAGGGAAACUUGUGCUAAUACCGGAUACGAUCUACGGAUGAAAGAUUUAUCGCCGAGGGAGUAGACAGCGUAGGAUUAGCUAGUUGGGGAGGUAAUGGCUCACCAAGGCGACGAUCCUUAGCUGGUCUGAGAGGAUGAUCAGCCACACUGGGACUGAGACACGGCCCAGACUCCUACGGGAGGCAGCAGUGGGGAAUAUUGGACAAUGGGCGAAAGCCUGAUCCAGCCAUGCCGCGUGAGUGAUGAAGGCCUUAGGGUUGUAAAGCUCUUUCGCCAGGGAAGAUAAUGACGGUACCUGGAAAAGAAGCCUCGGCUAACUCCGUGCCAGCAGCCGCGGUAA
rnacentral:rRNA from 1 species